ensembl:lncRNA
CUAAGACCUCUUCAUGGGGCUUCAUGAAAACUCAAGAAUAUGCUCUUCCCCUAAGCUAUACCUUGUACACUAGACCAAAAGUUUUUCAGAAGCAGGGUUGAAUUGGUUAAUGCCAAAUUCAAUCCUUCUUACCGUAAUGUAUUAAUACUAAUGUAGUCUUGAGGAGGAGGGAAUAGUGAGAGGUGUAGGUCAUGUGUGCUGUGGGAAUUAAAUACUAUUUUCAAUUGUUGAAAUUAGUCUUCUCAACUCUCUUAAUGUAUGAGGUCAUACUGAGAGAAAGACCAAUUUUCCAGAAUGAUGGCAGUACAGUCCAAGAACUAGUCUCCAGUGCAUUUAGAGAGCAAGCAGGUGUAUUAGGCUGAAGCAGGAGAGUUUCAAGAGGAAAUGUCUCAAAGACUGAAAGUAUUUAAACAUUUUGAAAUGUGAAGUUCUUUUGGAGAAUCAAAAGUUGAAUUAUCAAGUACAGAUUUUUUUUUUAAUUAGAGAAGAAAAAACUUUACAAGAAAUAUAAAUAUACUGUGUAUUCCUGUAAGCUUGUCAUUUAGCAUCCUAAAAGAGAGUGACUGUAUUCUGGGCACUCUGGAUUACACAGUACACAAUGGUGGUCCAGGCUAGUCUAUGCUGUAUAGAGUGAGUGACAGCUGGAGUAGUGGUUUGUCUUAGUUUGAGGUAACACAACAAAGUGCCAUAAAUAGAAUGGUCCACACACACACUAGAAAUAUAUUCAUAGUAUUUGAAACUGAGAAGUCAGAAGCUAGCGAAACCAACAGAUAGCUAAUUUAUCUAGCUUCUGUUAUAUUGAUUUCAACAUGGCUGACUGACAUACCUCUCAUUUCUUUUUUUUUUUUUUUUUUUCCUGAGACAGAGAUUCUCUGUGUAAUCUUGACUCUCCUGGAACUCGGUCUGUACACCAGGCCAGCCUUGAACUCUGUUGAGAUCUGCCUGAGUGCUGGGGAUUUGAGUCAUUCACCACCACUGCCCAGCCAUCUCUGGUUUCUUUAAAAAUGGCAGUUCUAAUCUCAUUUGUGAAGGCUUUGCCCUCAUGAUUUGAUCACUUCCUACUAAGGUCUCUACUUUGAUUGGCAUUUCAAAUGUAGGUGAAAGAAGACACAACACAUUGAAUCUAUAGUAGUGCAUACGGUUGAUCAUGGAGGCAGCGUUUUCAUUAACUGAUGAAGUAUGAAUUGGGUAGUGUGUAUAAGAAUAAUACUCUUCAUUUUACAUAUUAGAAAUUGGGAGAUAAACUGGGUAUAUUUGUGCAUGACUUGGAUCCCAGAAUUGGAGAAGCAAAGGCAGGUGGAUCUUAUUGGCUUUGAGGCCAGCCUGGUCUAGAUAGUUUCCAGACAGCCAGCAGUAUGGAGAGAGACCAUAAAAGAAAGAAAUUGGAAAGUAAUUUUUAAAAGUACCAGAUGAUAAAUUAGGAACAUCUUAUUCAGAAACAGGAAAGGAAUGUCUAAAAAUAAUCAGUUGGUUCUGGAGAGGGAGGGCAAUUUGAAAGUUUCAUGCAUCUGUCCAUGUUUGCACUAAUUGUUAAAAAAUAAAAGGGGUUAGUCAUGCUUGUGCCUUAUCCUUCCUUAAGGUGACUGAUGAUGCCUUUGAGACGCAUAUCUUGUGACAGGAAUAAUGACCUUCUAGCAGUGAAUAUAUACCUAUAAUCUAGCAGUGGGCAUGGAGGCUGGAGGAUCAAGUUUUCAAGGUUAUCUUUAGUGAGUAAUGGGUUUCAGGCCAGCCCGAGACCCUAUCUGGGGAAAAAAAAGGGGGGGGGGAUGCUGUUUGUAUUUAAGAAGGCUGACACACAGCCAGUGACCAUCAGCCACAAUAACUACUACUAAAGCCGGGGUUGUAGGUCAGGAUUUCACUGGAAGCCAGUCCAUUCUCAUCUGCUGGGUUAAUAAGUGUUACCUUAGGAACAUACAUCUUCACAUUUAAAUAUUUUUUUCAACUUGAUAAGGUUAUAAAUGGUCUUUGGGCAGGGUUAUAUGUAGUUCAAUAGUAGAAUAUGCAGGAGGCCUUUGAUUCAUUUCCAUCUCCAGAGCUAGAUGUAGGCUACACUUGUGACUCCUGCACAUGGGAGCAGAGGUUUGGGAGGGUCAAUGAGCUCAGGCGCUCUAGGCCGGCCAGAGAAACAUAGUGCUGCUCUUAAAAAAAAGAUAUGUAACCCUUCUGAAGGCUAUAUGUCUAAAAAACAAUGACAGUGGUUCUAGUAAGAGCUGAUUUUGGCUGAUUACUAUUUCCUCUUUUGUGAACUUGGUGAACUCUAGUUCAAAAGCUUUAUCCUUAACUUCAUCAUGUAUGAUAUAAGUUAUUUUUGUGACUUCUUUAACUACAUGAUGGCAGGUCAUUUCUUUCAUUUUAAGCUUUUCUAUUUCUGUCUUUGCAGCAUUGCCAGUGGCACAGCCACAGUAACCAGAUGAAAUACCUGAUGGGUCAGUUUGUCCUGUCAUUUUGCACUAUAUGACCCCAACAUUAAACUGCAGCCCAAAGGUCUGUUAGCAUCAUAAUGUGUAUAAGCAUGUACAUACAUGGCCACUCUUAUCUGCAGUUCUAGGCUUUAGAGAAGUUUAAAAUCUAGGGAAAUGAUGCAGCCAAAGUUAGAUAGUAGAUGUUGCUGCUUAAGGAAAGAGCAUAUGCCAAUAAGCAAGCCCCUAUCAUUCCAACAUGCCAGUCAACAUUAAAAAGUGUUUGGAACCAUCAUAGUUUCCAAAGAACUAAUUUUCUGCUCCAAAUACACUGCCAUCUAAUUGCUUUUUACUGUUUCCACAGCCUUUAUGGCAUUGAAAAACGCUUCCAACAGGAGAGAAAGUAAAGGCUGCCAUGCCAUACUAGGUGCAAAUGGAGUUCAGGGUGCUGAUUGAUCCACCAGGCUGUGGAGGGCUUGCAGACCUGAAGUAGCAUUUUUGGGGGGCUGGUAUGUGAUUUGAGACAGGAAGGUUUCUCUAUGUAGCCCUGGCUGUCUUGGAAUUUGCCAAGGACCAGGUUGGCCUCAAACUUCCUAAGAUUUACCUGUGCAGCUGCUUUUAUAACAUUUUAUAAAUUAUAAAAUACAUUUUUCAGGAGCUUAUUGAUAAGUGUUAGGUAUUUUUGAUCAUUGGACAUGGAGUUUUGCUUUUUACUAUGUAAUCCAGUCCAGCCUAAAACUGAAAUUCUGGUUCUGCUUGUGAAGUACUGGGAUUAUAGAAAUACACCACUCACUUUGUUCCCCUUUUAGUUUUUUUGAGACAUGUUCUCCCUCUGUACCCGUGGCUGACCCUUAACUUGCAUGUAAACAAGGCUAACCUUGUAAUCCUUCUUCAGUUUCUGAAGUGCUAGGAAUCACAGGCCUGUGUGGUCAUGUUUUUAUUAUUAGCCUUUUUAUCUUUUCAUGUCUAAACUUCCAUCUUGUUUACAUCAGUGUGUAUGACUUGAGCAUAGAUGUUAGCUUUUUGAUAUUUCACUUCAUAGUUUUUCAGGUAAGAAAAGUUUAACAGCAUACCGUCAUCUGGGUUUUGAGCCUUUUUAGAUAACUAGUGUUUUGGAUUGCAGGUUUUCUGCACUUGAAUGUAAACUUCGUUUUUGUUGUAAUAUAUGAGUGCUUUGCCUGCAUGUAUGUCUAUGUACCUUGUCCAUGCCUACUGUGCUCAGGUCAGAAGAAAGGCCAGAUUCCCUGGAACUGGAGUUACAGAUGGUUGUGAGCUACUGUGUGGGUGCUGGGUCCUCUGCAAGAGCACCAAGUGUUAACCACCUGAGUCAUCUCUCCAGAUCCCCUUUUUGCAUUUUUGUGCAAUUUACAUUUUUGUGUAUGUAUAUGUGUACCUUGUGCAUGUUGUUACCCUUAAGUCCUGAAUAUUGCCAUAAACUGUAGUUACCAGCCACUGUAAGCUGUAACAAUCCCAUAGGUAUGUUGGAAACGAAACCCCAGGUUCUCUGCAAGAACAGUAAUUGCUUAAUUUUUUUUUUCUUUUUCUUUUUUUCGGAGCUGGGGAUCGAACCUAGACCUUGCGCUUUCUAGUCAAGCGCUCUACCACUGAGCUAAAUCCCCAACCCAAAUUUCUUAAUUCUUGAGUAUUCUAUUCCCACAUUUUAAAUUUACUUGACAUGCGGUGUGAGCAGUGUGAGGUGAGUAGCUGAGUUUGAUUUCUAAAUGACUACUUAGUUGAAAGAUUUUAAAUCUGUUCUAAAAGGGCCAGUGAACUGUUUCAAUGAGUUAAAGCUGACAAUUCAAUACCCAAAACCUUUGGUGGAAAGAGAGAAUUGACUGUUGAAAGUUGUCCUCUGACCUUCAUGUAUGUACACUUUGACAUUCAUACACAAUACACAUAUAGUAAAUAGAACCUCAGCUACAAUAUGGAAUUGUGGCCUCUUUCUUUUCUUCCUCUCUCUCUCUCUCUCUCUUUCUUUCUUUGUGGUGUUAUUGAGGUGGAUCUCUACAAUGUUUUAAAGCUUGCUAUGUAGAUCAGACUGUCCUCAUAUUCUCAUAUAUCCUCCUGCUUCUGCAUCCCAAGUGUUGGCACUAAAGGUGUGUACCACUGUGACUUUUUUAACUGAAGGCCUGAUGUGAAGACAGGAUGUCUCCUACCUAUAAUACCCUGCAUUUCUAGAGAAACUACUGCUAUAGACCAGUUUAACUUAGUCCCUAGGGGCAGAAAUAGGCAGGCUUAAAUUGGGCUGGAGUGCUUUGAGUGUAAUUUGAGAUCUUUUAUCUUUUAGAGAAAUCUUUAGUGCUUCCUGGUCCACUUAUCACAUAAUACCCAACAUCUGCUCUUCAGAAUUGAACCCAUAGGGGCCUAUUAGUCAUAACAGGUAAUAUUUGUCUCCUUACCUGUUUCCUCUCAGUCUAAUAACAGUUAACAUUUUUGGUGGGCAACUUGGCAAGAAUAUAGUUAUUUUUGUACUGAGGAGUAGGGCUUCAUGAAUGCUAAUAAAUGCUAUGAAUUCCAGUUGUGUGUGUGUUGAAAGGGAAAGAGUUUAUGCAUAAGUUCAUAUGUGUGUGAGUCCUGAGUUUGAAAUAGAUCUUCUCCAUGUUUUGUUUGUUUGUUUGUUUGUUUUGGUUUUUUUUGGAGAGGGUCUCUGUAACCUAGGCUGCCAACUUGUUAUAUAGACCAUGCUAGCUUCUUAACUUGGAGAGAUUCACUUGUCUUUAUUCCCAAGUGUGCACUACGUCAGGCCUCUACACCAUUUUUAAAAAUGUUCUUAGUUUUGGUGUUUAUGUAUGGGGGGUGCAGGCAUGCUAACUGCUGAGCAGUCUUAGUCCUAUUGUUUUUUUUUUUCCCCCAGCAGGUGGAUGGGUAGGGGCUCUGUUACAGAGAUUUGGGUAUUCUGAAACUAGAUCAGGCUGGCCUCAGAUUCAUAGAGAUCCACCUGCUGGGAUUAAAAGUGUAUGCCACCGUGCCCAGCCCCACUGCAGUUUUUGAGGCAGGAUAUCUUAGUGAACCUGAGUGUUGUCUCUGUUCUUGUUCCUGGGGUCUUAAUUUGGUGUUGGUAAUCGCUUCUCUAAGUUGUACUUGUACAACUAGCAUUUUGCUCACAGACAUCCUUCCAGCUCCCUUCCCAGUUUAGUUUUGUAUAUUCUUUGUUGGUUUGUCAUUUUGCCUGCAUAUAUUUUAGUGUAUAUAACACAUGCAUGCCUGGUACCCUUGGAAGCCAGAAGGAGGCAUCAGAUCAUUUGGAACAUAAAAGAUAGCUAUGAACUGCCACAUAGGUGCUAGGAAUUGAACCCAGGUCCUGGAAAAGUAGCCAGAGCUCUUAAUUGAUGAGCCAUCUCCAUCUCAUUUAUUUUGUUUUUUAAAAGAGAUGUUUAUUUAUGUAUAUGAGUGCACUGUCACUGUCUUCAGACACACCAGAAGAGGACAUCAGAUCCCAUUACAGAUGGUUGUGAGCCACCAUGUGGUUGCUGGGAAUUGAGCUCAGGACCUCUGGACCUGAGCUCAGGACCUCAGCAGUCAGUGUUCUUAGCCGCUGAGCCAUCUCUCCAGCCCCAUUUUGUUUUUAAUUUUUGCUAUCUAGUGUUGGUAGCCUUUAAAUAGCUUAUUCCCUGCCCCUGCUUCCCAAGUGCUAGGAUUACAGGCAUCCACUACUCACAUUUUACCAGUCUUAUUACAUAUACCUACUUUCAGGCAUUUUAAUCCACAUCAUGUUCCCUCUUCAUUAGCUAAUCUUAAUAAGGCCAGUCUACUUAUGUUUGGGCCCACUUCCUUUUUCCUGUGGUUCAUAUCCUGUAAAAUAAUUUCCUUUUUAACUGGUUGAUGUAUCAGUAUUACAUUGUGUUGUGUUCAUGUAGAGAAAGUCUGGUCAUAUUUUCCUUCCCAGUUAACGUCUUUUCUUUCACUUGUUUGUAGCAAAACCUUUUCUAUUGGUUUGCUUUCCAGUUUUUGCUCUAAUUUUUUAUUUUUAGUUUUUUACAUUUUGUGUGUGUGUGGAGGUCAGAAGACAGCUUGUAGGAGUUGGUUAUUACAUAUGGGUCCUGUGGAUGGAACUCAAGUUGUCAGGAUUAAAGUGCCUUUACUGGCUAAGCCCCUUGCUUCAGUUUUCUCUUUAAACUUAUUUUCAUCCAGCUUCUUAUUUCUACCAGUGCAAAGUUAGUGUUUUACUAAGCCAUGCCAUUUUUUUUUUAUUUUAAAAGACUGUAUUAUUUCCUGUUCCGUUUGGCUUACAUGUUGUCUUCACCACCUAAACUAAUGGAAGCUCCAUCAUCUAAAUAAGCUUUCUGUUAAGGACAGUGACCAUAGUAAAUAGAGUUGUGAGUUACAGUGCAUGAUAGUGUUCAGAGGAUGAGGAGAACUUAAGCAAUGACUAUGUGUCCGUGUUUUUAUAGUAAAUGAGGUCUAAUUUUUUUUUUAAUGAAAUUUAGCAAAAAUUUAGAAUGAGAAGCAAAUAGACAACCUGGGGAGAGUUCUAGGUAACUACUCUGUUUCAGGCACACUGUGCUGAUAUUUUAAAACAUGUUAGAUCCCUUUUCUCUCUGCUUUUGGAUCUGUCAAUCCCCUAGGUAAUCCUGAUAAGGGUUUGUUUUCAGCAGUAAGUCUGAGUUUUCUUUUUUCCAGUACUGGAGAUUAAGGGUAGGUCAUUGCACAUGCUUCUGCAGCCUUUGAAGUUAAAUUACCUAUCCUGGACAUGAACUUGAAGUCCUCCUAAGGCUCUUGGAGUAACUUGGAUUACAGAUCUGCACAAUCAGGCCUAACUCAUUUUGAAGAUGAAAAGAUAGAUAAGUGAAACUGCUAUGGUUUUGCUCCCCACCCCAAGUUGUAUCUUUGAGAUUAUUUUAUACACACAUAAAUAUAUAAAAGUGAAUUCAUCUAGAUCAGGGUUACUUAAAUAUUUCCCUUGUUUUAGGUGACACAUUUCUUACCAUGUGGAUAUGUAAAGAUAAGUGAAAGUCUGUUUACUAUAGAUGAGGAAAUUUGCACACUGAUGAGAAGUGCUUGUUUUACAGUUCUUAGCUUGUGUACACAUAUGUCUGUCCCUGUGUCUUGAGUGUGGGUGUGCACAGCACAUGGCACUGGCUUGCUUGUGUGCAUGUAUGUCUGUCAUGUGUCUUGAGUGUGGUGUGCACUUGGCAUUGGCUUGCUCUGAAGCUCCCUCAAGCUCACCUCUGAUCUCUGCUUAUUUAACAUAAAAAUUUAAAUGUUAACCAACAGUUUUAAGUACUUUUCAGAGUUGCUUGCUAUUUUGAUUUCUUAACUGUCAAUGCUGAACGAUUUUGUAUAAAUACAGAAAACAAAAUGGGGCAAACUAGGGCUAUUUCAGAAAUUGUUAGAAACAUUAUCCUAGUCCUAAUUCAUUUAAUUGGUUUUUAAAACUGUAACUCAAGUCAGCAACUUAAAACAACCGUUUGGAGAAGGAAACAGGCUAACAAUAUAAGCCAGUGACAUACCAGUGUGCUAUAGUAGUUAUUGGAAAGUAUUAAAAGUCCUUUUUCUAUAUUUAAACCAUGUAUUAUGUUUCUGUGAAGGCAUAAAAGCACAAUAAUUCAUAAGACACAAUAGUCUGGACUUGGAGCUGAAGUCUUUCAGUGUUGACACUGGAUGGGUGUGAGGAUGGUAUUUCCAGGUGUUGUUUUUUCAGAACCAAGAUUGUUGAUAACUCAUGCACUUGUUUUUUAAAACACCCUCGUCUAUCUGCAUGUAUGAGAGAGGAGAGAAAGAGGAGUGGGGAAGUGUAUGAAUGGUGUAGAGGUCUGAAGACAGAUCCUGGGAGUAGUCUGGUUUUUUCUUGCCUUGUGUGUUCUGAAGAUUGAACUCAGGUCAUGAGGUUCGUGUGACAGGC